GCGCUCAUAGCUCAACUGGAUAGAGUGUCUGACUACGAAUCAGAAGGUUAGGGUUCGAGUCCCUUUGGGCGCACCA
rnacentral:tRNA from 1 species